UGACUCUGAAUCACUCUCUGCAUCACUAAAAUAUUCUGAUCUGAUCCUGGAUGUCUCAACAAGAUGUUCACAAAUCAGCCCAGGAAGACGUGUCCCUGCCUCUGAUGUUCAAAUUUUGCCCUUGAGCUCUUAGAGAGGAAAAAAAAAGAGGUUUUGAGCUUUCCUCCUGCUAUUUGACCCAGAUGGCUCCUCAUGAGCACACAGGGCUCAUCCAGAGCCCGGGGCACUGGCCUUGCGCUCCCGGCAGGCACGGCCCCACCGCAGGAGAGAACUCCAUUUGGCAGAAGUGAGGUUUGUCAGCGUGGCCUUGGGCUGCUCGUGGCCGUGACGCGACCUGGCUUCAGAGUGCGGCCACGGAUCCUUCCGUGAAAUUGGGGUUAAGGUGCUUCCCACCUGCAGGGCUGCAGAGGCAAUUCCUUCCCAACCCCGUGAGUCUGUCUGGACUUGUGGCUGCUCACGUGAGGGGGAGCGAGAUUGUUAAUUGAUCAGCAGUGUCAGAAUGAGUUUAGUUUCAGGGAACAGGUGCCAGUCCUGGAUGUCGACACUGAAGAGCCUGCGUGGACAUGCACAAUUAGCUGGAAUGCUGAUCUGCAGUGAAGGGAGCUGGCGCUGGUGGGAGUCUGUGUGUUGGGCAGGGACGUGCAUUUGGGAAUGAAUAACCUGGCAUCGCCUCCUGCCUUUCCCUGCCCGAUUACAUCCUUGUCCAGCUAAUCAGCAGUGGAGGAGCAGCUCACCUCCCUGGAUGCUCAGAUGACAAUUUUAUGGAUACUGCACACCCUUGCAAUAUCAAUCCAGCUCCUGGCUUUGCCCAGGUUAUUGAUUAAAAGCAUAUUAACAAUCGAUAGCUGGACUAAUUGCAUGGCUGCUCUAACGGGCACCUCUCUCAGCUCUUUGCUCUCACCACAGCCAUGAUGCUCCGAAGCAGCAGCAGCAGCCUCGCCAUCGCCUCUCCCUCACCCCAGAAGCUGUACAGCUGCCUUAUGUGUGACCAGGGAUCUAACAUCUCCUGAUACAGUAUCAGCCUCCCGGAGUGGAUUUCAAUAUGGAAAUCAAAGGACACUAUUAAAACUCAUUACCAUUUUUAUCUCCAGUGCUGCAGAUUUGCUACAAUGUUAUUUGAAUCUGAAUUCAGGCGGUAUUUGCACACGCAAGAAUACCCUCUCCUCUCCCCCUCCUUCUCGUUCUAAGGAAUGCUCAGUCGUACCCGUCAGUGGCAGAGCAGUCACUGCUCUCAUCCCUUGCCCAGCCCGGCUCUGGACAGACGAGCAGGUUUGAAGUACAGAGCAUGGUGGGCGGCAGCGCCGCUGGGAAGUUGGAUCGGGAAGAACAAAGUUCCACAAUGCGGGCAAACGGUUCAGCAAGUUGGAGUGUUUUAAACCAGUCAGUGGGUGAACUCGUCAGUGCCUUUCCUGUUGUCUCUGAGCUGCACAAGGAUGAACAGGAAAGAUGAGCUUCGUUAAGCAUUGCUGGGCUCUGGGAGCUCCCACGUUCCCCAACCCGGGCAUCUUCUCGAGCAGAUGCUGGAGAUGCUUCCUUUUGCCAAAAUCAGAGUUUAGCAUCUGUUUUCACUGUAAACCCUCACACUGUUUCACCAGCCCCUUCCACAGCCUUGGCUCGGGUGUGUUCCUGUGGGAGCUUCCUGGUACCUUGCCAAGAAGUCAAGAGGGAGGAUGCAGGCGCCCAGGAGCUGCCUUGGUCCCUCUGUGCCCCUUGAAACAGACAGUCCUGAACCCCAUUGCACUCAGGCUGCUUCCCCAGCCCUUGGCACAGCCUCGGGCACAGGGUGCUGAUGCUUAAGAACAACGUCAAGAAACUCAACACAUCCUACUGGGCUGUUGAGAGCAGCUGCUGGGAAGAAGAAGAUCCAACUCCCUCCUCGGUGCAGGGCUGCCAGCCGGCAGCACGCUGGAAGGACAAGCCUUGGCAAACCCCAUCGCGCCGGGGUCCUGCUGGGGGCCGCAGCGGCCACCUGGGUCCCGCUGCCCCUCACCCACCCAGGCAGACUCAUUUUCACGCUGCCCCCUCACCGGGAGGAGCCACACGGCUCCCCUCGCAUCAUGUGCAAACUGUGUUUCACUGCAGCCCACGAGCUGCUUAAAGUUAGAAACAGUUUAACACGAUGCUGGCACCGAGACGUGGCUCUGAGCAGCAGGGAGCAGCACGGGGGGCUGCAGGGAGCUGGGGCGAGCUGGGAUGAGCACCCCAAACCUGUGGGGCUGCCAUGCAGCCAGCAGCAGGAGCAUCCCACGAAAUGCUGGAGUGCAGGGUCGUGUCCAGUCCCAGGGUUCCUGUGGUGGCAACAGCACCACGUUUCCCACGCUGCUAAAAAUGACCAUCAAGUGGCAGAUUAACACCCACCCAUGAAGGUGAAGAGCUUGGAUCUUCCUGCAGGGCAGGGCUUUGCUGUUUGGCUUGAAAACACAAGAAAAAAGUGCCAGAAAGGGGGAGCCACGUGCUAUGAGGAAAAUAACUUGUAGAAGACUUUUGGGCCCUUUUCCUGCCAAAGGCACCCCCGGAGGGGAAUUCCUGAGGUCACUGCUCCCUGAACUGUGGGACAUGCAGAGUCUGAUGUGUCCUCACAGCUCAUGCUCAGCAGUGGCACAGGGCUCUACAAACCCCAGCAGUGACGUCCAGCAGAAGCUCUGAUCCAUCCCAGCCUGCCAAGGGAUGCCUUGAGAUGUUCUGCAGUGCACGGUUAUCACCAUGGGAUGCUCUCCAGCAUGAGGAAGCAAGCCGAGGCUGCUGAAGGACUUGUCACGGUGUGGAAGCUGAGGAGCGGCAACCCACCAAUUCGUGGUGUAAAAACAAAGGAGGAAUAUUUUGAGAUCAAAAGGUUCUUGUUCAGCUCGGGCUGCUUUGACAUGGAGCUGUCGCGGUGCCAAGUCACGUCAUUCCAAGGGCAUGGAUCCGCACCCCAUGAAGGAGCCAGCCACCUCCACCACUCCUGAGGGAACAAAGCUUUGCUGAGACCCUCCUGUUUGCUGACUCUGUACCCAAAGCACUCUGACACCCCCUUCGGUGGCUCACUGUGGCAGCACGUGGAUAAAUGAUGUUGGGGCUGAGCAGCUGAGCUUCGCUGAAGGACACUCCUCCAAGGCAGAGGGGACGAGCCCUCCCGGUCCCAUACAGGCCAUAUUUAUGGUGAUGGCACAACCCACCAGACAAGGUCGCUCCAAGCCCCAUCCAACCUGGCCUGGAACACUUCCAGGGACAGGACAUCAACAGCUUCUCUGGCCAAACUUUCAGGCAUUUUGGAGACCCAUUAGCUGGGGCAGGAGGUCUGGAGCAACUGAUGGGCACCACUGACAGCCGAGCAUGUGCUGUGCCCACCACCCACCUUUCGCAUGCUGGGAAGCCGAAUAAUCCAGUUUUUCCCAUUCCCAGACAGAACAAGCUUGACAUAAAUAUUCAUCUGUUCAAGUGAAAGCAGGAGCCCUUGUUUCUUUGAGUGGAACUAACUGAAAAGCGAUGAUAGUUUUCUGAAAAAUGCGAGAUUAUGUACACAGAAGUCAUUAUAUAUAAACUUAUUAAUUAUUUAACAGCUUGUUAAUGAGUGAGUUUCGGUCUCGCAGCUCAGCCGACCCACCCGUUUGCCGCCGUGGCAGGGGAGCCCAGGGCCCCAGAUGCUUUUCACGUGUUAAGCGAUGAGGUUGGGAGGCCAAGCUCCAGGAGGGGAUGGGAGAGGCCGGCUGAGGGCCAGGAUCCAGCGGCACAGCAGACCUCCUCGCCUCCAGCUCCAGAUGCCUGCACACAGCCUGGGAGCAUUAGCUGCAUUAUACGCUUUUGAAAUUCUCAUUAAACAUGCAUAAAUGGAAAUUGUUUUAUUUUCUAAUGCAAGUGAAAAAUUUGCAUUGAUAGAAAACGCCUGUUCCUGGAGCGGUGCUGGUGUGUGGCACAGCCAGCACCUCCGGACCCGAGCCUCCUGCAAAUGGAGUUUCUCACUUUUGCUGGAAUUCCCAAACAUCCCAAGCGCUGCAUGUGCUGCCUGAGUGAAAUGUUUCACGCUGUCAGGUGCGGGAGGGCCCGGGUCAGGUCCUGCUGUGUCCU